rnacentral:rRNA from 1 species
UACGUAGGGGGCAAGCGUUGUCCGGAAUCAUUGGGCGUAAAGCGCGCGUAGGCGGCCCUGUAAGUCCGUUGUGAAAGUCAAAGGCUCAACCUUUGAAUGCCGAUGGAUACUGCAGGGCUAGAGUCCGGAAGAGGCGAGUGGAAUUCCUGGUGUAGCGGUCGAAUGCGCAGAUAUCAGGAGGAACACCAAUAGCGAAGGCAGCUCGCUGGGACGGUACUGACGCUAAGGUGCGAAAGCGUGGGGAGCGAACAGG